rnacentral:rRNA from 1 species
UACGGGGGGGGCAAGCGUUGUUCGGAAUUACUGGGCGUAAAGGGCUCGUAGGCGGCCAACUAAGUCGGAUGUGAAAUCCCCAGGCUUAACCUGGGAACUGCAUCCGAUACUGGAUGGCUUGAAUCCGGGAGAGGGAUGCAGAAUUCCAGGUGUAGCGGUGAAAUGCGUAGAUAUCCUAGGGAACACCGGUGGCGAAAGCGGCACUCUGGAUCUCUUCUGACGCUGAGGCACGAAAGCUAGGGUAGCAAACGGG